CCCCUCGAUCCAUCUCUCUGCAGUCAACAGCAACUCUCAUCCUGGGAUUGCUCCACAAUCCCUAAAUUCCAGCUCCUAGCCGCUGCGCCUUCUAGAGGACCGUCGUCCCUGUCCAGGGAACCAUCAUGAUGGUGAGGGAAGCUUCCGUGAUGCCUGUUGGUGAUCACUGAGUAGAGUCAGGAUGGGGAAGCAGGACAGCCAAAGCCCUGAGGGAUGAAGGCAAGGCCAACGGGGCAAGACUGAACCAAGGAAGCUCUAUCAGAAAGGAGCAGACCACAGACCACCAGAUAAGUAAGUGCCCCAGAGUCACCUGAGAAGCCUUGCUCUCCCCAGACUAGUGGCAUGACCACCAACCUGACCUGCUGUAUGAGCAGCUGUUUUCUCACUUCUAACCUCCUCCCACCUGUGAGAGUUAUCUUGUUGUACGUCUCAGCUCCCUCUUAUCACAGAACAAAACCCAGGUUCUUCAGCCUGGAAUUCUCCAGCAAUCUUUACUUUUUCCUUUGCAUAAGGGAUGUGCAUUCACAUCUGUUUAACCACUAGCUUGGCUGAGCCUGAGUACCGCAUAAAGUGGAGCCCAAGGCAUGUGUUGAUAUCCUACCACUUUAUUAGGGGGUAUGGUUCUUGGGAAGCAAGAAAAAGUGGAAAGAGUGGGGAGGUAGGAAGCCAGGAUAGCCAACAUGUGUUUGCUUCUGAACUGGCCCCACUUAGACUGAAUAGAUUGAUUGCUGACACUGUAGGUCCAUCUUCCAGAGUCUGUAUGAACCUCUGAGUCUCAGGAUAGCCCAUUCAUGGGGGAAGAAGAGGGGAAAUGUGUCCACUGUCUCCUGUCUCCAUUGGUUUAGGGUCUUACAAGAUUGUGUCCACUGCAAGCUGGCCCAGCUGCUGCUGGGCUGGUCACCUUGGAAGCAGCUAGAGCAUGACCAAUGGCCAAGGGCCCCAGAAGUGGAGAGGAUCAGAGGGUCAAGGUGGUCCAAAGAAAUGCCUCGUGUACAUUUUGGCCCUGCAUUCACCACAGGCAGAGGGUUUUCAGAAGGCAUGUGAGGGGGCAUAGUUUCUCAAAUAGGACAAUUUGUAUCAAGUACUUUAGCCUGAAAGGUUAGAAAUGCCCAAUAAAAGUUAACUCUUACUGCUAAUAUCAUCCCCAAUGUCAACCUUGCUCCAACUCUCUGCCCUGGAAAAGGUGCUUCUUGCCCAUCCCCAGGACUGUUCUUAACACCUGAUGGGUGGUAAGGCAUUGCCUGCCUGCAUGUCAUCUCUGUAAUGCAGGCAGUGGACCUGGUCAAGGGAAGGGAAAGAGGGCCUGAGGGCAGCCAGGGUGGGGCUCAGCUGCCUCUCCCCAGAUGGCUGCCCCAGCCCUGCGCUGCUUCUGCUUCUCUCCACUUGGUCAGCAGAGGUGAACCAACACAGCAGUCCUUUAGCCUGGCAGCCCGGGACCAGGCCUCACAUACAUACACGAGGAGUUCUGAGGGUGCGGAGGCCCUUCCUCAGGCUGAGGGCCUUGGAAUAGAGGGAGCAGCUGCUGGAAAAUACCAGAAACCCCCCAUUCUAGGGCCACUGGAGCCUGGCCAUGAAGCAUCUUUUCCUCAUUUCUCAUCCUUGGUCCAGGAUGGACCCUCCUGCUCUCCACCUACAGCCCUAAUCAGUCUCCUGGCUUUGAACAAUUUCAGUGUUCCAAGUCAGAGCCUAAAGCAGAGUCAUGCUCCCUCAGGAAUACAGCUCACCAAUAAUGGGAAGAGGGUGGGGAAACAGGGCUGAGACUCUGUCUCCCCUUCCCACUCCCAGAAGCAGAGAGUACUAUGGCCUUCCCCAUUCCAGACUUAUGGCCUUCCCCAUUCCAGACUUUUCAGCAGCCUGCAUCAGAGAACUGCUCCAGACCUGGAGAAGCCCAAGAGAAGAAUCCCAAAAGCUCUGGCCAGAGCAAUGCAACACAAGAACUUUAUAUAUGACCAGCACCUAUGUUGU